AUGGCCGUGUACUUGAACGACGAUUUGGAAGACCUGCAAGACGACCACUUCGACUCCGACGGGUUUGGCUUCUCCGGCGGCCGCGACGGCCAUCCCUCAAGCCCGAAUAAGCAUAAGAAUGAUACAUCAGCCGUGCAGUACAGAAAUGGAAAAGACAUGCAAGGGAUACCAUGGGAGAGGUUAAAAUACAGUAGAGAUCAGUAUCGCAAGAUGAGGCUGGAGCAUUACAAGAAUUAUGAGAACCUCGCGAGGUCACACCAGGGGUUUGAUAUGGAGUGCAAACAAGUGGAGACAAAUGACAGGUUCUAUGAUUUCUGCUUCAACACACGACUUGUCAAGCCAACGAUAGUGCAUUUUCAGCUAAGGAAUCUUGUGUGGGCCACAUCCAAGCAUGAUGUUUACAUGGCACAGAACAAUUCAGUGAUGCACUGGUCUUCUCUUCUUCAAAGAGGGACAGAAGUGCUCCGCGUUGCAGGCCAAGUUGUUCCAAAGCAGAAGGGGCAUGGAGCUCAGACACUGUCCAGGGUGCAGAUCAGCACAAUGGCCCUAAAAGACAAUUUCAUGGUAGCAGGCGGUUUCCGCGGCGAACUGAUUUUCAAGUAUGUUGACAAGCCCGGGGUGGUAUUCUGUACGAAUGUCGCUGAUAAUAAAAAUUCUGUCACGAAUGCUGUAGAUGUGUACGAGUCUCCCAGCGGCGCUACUCGAGCGACGGCGGCCAACAAUGACUGCACCGUCAAAUUUCUUGAUGCUGAGAGGUGCAGCCUGCUUAGUCGUUUUAAUUUCCCGUGGUCAGUCAAUAACACAUCGGUGAGUCCUGAUGGCAAGCUUCUUGCGGUUCUCGGCGACAGCUCCGACUGCGUGAUCGCCGACGCUCAAUCGGGCGAAGAGAUAGCGACUCUCAAGGGGCACCUGGACUACUCGUUCUCAUCGGCCUGGCACCCCGGCGGGAACGUCCUGGCGACGGGGAACCAGGACAAGACGUGCCGGCUGUGGGACACGCGCAACCUGUCGGCGCCGUUCGCGGUGCUGGGAGGGAGGAUCGGCGCGGUCCGGGGCCUCCGGUUCUCGUCGGACGGGCGGUUCCUGGCGGCGGCGGAGGCGGCGGACUUCGUCCACGUGUACGACGCGCGGGCCGGCUACGGCGCCGCGCAGGAGAUCGGCCUGUUCGGGGAGAUCGCCGGCGUGGCGUUCAGCCCGGACGCGGGCGCGCUGUUCGUCGGGGUGGCCGACCGGGCCUACGGCAGCUUGCUCGAGUUCGGCAGGCGGGGCCGGCACGCUUACCUGGACUCGUACCUGUGA
rnacentral:rRNA from 1 species